CACGUAGGGCGCAAGCGUUGUCCGGAAUUAUUGGGCGUAAAGAGCUCGUAGGCGGUCUGUUGCGUCUGCUGUGAAAACCCGGGGCUUAACCCCUGGCUUGCAGUGGAUACGGACAGACUAGAGGUAGGUAGGGGAGAAUGGAAUUCCCGGUGUAGCGGUGAAAUGCGCAGAUAUCGGGAGGAACACCGGUGGCGAAGGCGGUUCUCUGGGCCGGACCUGACGCUGAGGAGCGAAAGCGUGGGGAGCGAACAGG
rnacentral:rRNA from 1 species